rnacentral:lncRNA from 1 species
GCUCCUUAUCCAAUUCCUUUAAGACUACCAGUUUCUUCAGUGUCAAGCUGCACAACCUGGGCACGCAGCUGGGGCUGGAACCGUCGAUUUCCCAGGUGGCGAAGAGGUUCAUAGGCACGGGCCGCCCCAAGGCCCCGGCACCGCCCGGGAAGCUGAGGCGGCCCCGCUCCGCCGCCGCCGCCAUAGCUGCCGGCCUGGCGUGCGCCCACCGGGCCGCCGCCGCCGCUGGCUGUGCCG